GAUGAAGAACGUAGCGAAAUGCGAUAAGUAGUGUGAAUUGCAGAAUUCAGUGAAUCAUCGAAUCUUUGAACACACAUUGCGCCCCUUGGUAUUCCAUGGGGCAUGCCUGUUCGAGCGUCAUUUGUACCUUCAAGCUUUGCUUGGUGUUGGGUGUUUGUCUCGCCUCCGCGUGUAGACUCGCCUCAAAACAAUUGGCAGCCGGCGUAUUGAUUUCGGAGCGCAGUACAUCUCGCGCUUUGCACUCACAACGACGACGUCCAAAAGUACAUUUUUACACUCUUGACCUCGGAUCAGGUAGGGAUACCCGCUGAACUUAAGCAUAUCAAUAAGCGGAGGA
rnacentral:misc_RNA from 1 species